rfam:Ovis aries breed Texel chromosome 3, whole genome shotgun sequence.
UGGCUCAGAUGGUAAAGUGUCUGUCUACAAUGCAGGAGACCCAGGUUCGAUCCCUGG